UACAGAGGGUGCGAGCGUUAAUCGGAAUUACUGGGCGUAAAGCGCGCGUAGGCGGCUUUGCAAGUCGGGUGUGAAAUCCCCAGGCUUAACCUGGGAACUGCAUUCGAGACUGCAUUGCUAGAGUAUGGGAGAGGGAAGUGGAAUUUCCGGUGUAGCGGUGAAAUGCGUAGAUAUCGGAAGGAACAUCAGUGGCGAAAGCGACUUCCUGGACCAAUACUGACGCUCAUGUGCGAAAGCGUGGGGAACAAACAGG
rnacentral:rRNA from 1 species